CCUACGGGCGGCAGCAGUGGGGAAUAUUGGACAAUGGGGGGAACCCUGAUCCAGCCAUGCCGCGUGUGUGAAGAAGGCCCUCGGGUUGUAAAGCACUUUCAGUGAGGAAGAACGCCUGGUGGUUAAUACCCAUCAGGAAAGACAUCACUCACAGAAGAAGCACCGGCUAACUCCGUGCCAGCAGCCGCGGUAAUACGGAGGGGUGCGAGCGUUAAUCGGAAUUACUGGGCGUAAAGCGCGCGUAGGUGGCUUGAUAAGCCGGUUGUGAAAGCCCCGGGCUCAACCUGGGAACGGCAUCCGGAACUGUCAAGCUAGAGUGCAGGAGAGGAAGGUAGAAUUCCCGGUGUAGCGGUGAAAUGCGUAGAGAUCGGGAGGAAUACCAGUGGCGAAGGCGGCCUUCUGGACUGACACUGACACUGAGGUGCGAAAGCGUGGGUAGCAAACAGGAUUAGAUACCCCGGUAGUC
rnacentral:rRNA from 1 species